rnacentral:rRNA from 1 species
UACGUAGGUGACAAGCGUUAUCCGGAAUACUGGGCGUAAAGCGCACGCAGGCGGCUGCGUAAGUCUGACGUGAAAAUCUCCCGGCUUAACCGGGGAGCGGUCGUUGGAAACUAUGCGGCUUGAGGCGAUGGAGAGGGGUGUGGAAUUCCCGGUGUAGUGGUGGAAUGCGUAGAUAUCGGGAGGAACAUCAGUGGCGAAAGCGGCACCCUGGCAUUAGCCUGACGCUCAGGUGCGUAAGCGUGGGGAGCGAACGGG